ACCAGCAGCCAUAUCACCCUGGCGCUCUCAACUGCCUAAGCAGGGUUGAGCCUGGUCUGUACCUGGAUGAGAGACCUCCUGAGAAGCCAUGGUUGCUGCUGGAA
rnacentral:rRNA from 1 species